rnacentral:tRNA from 1 species
GGAAGCGUGCCCAAUUUUAAGGGUUACUUUGAUAGAGUAAACAACAGAGGUUAAAUUCCUCUCACUUCCU